UUCCUUGUGCUAAGGUGCAUCUAGUGCAGUUAGUGGACUAACUUACAAUCUACUGCCCUGAGUGCUCCUUCUGGCACACGGA
rfam:Ophiophagus hannah scaffold2645.1, whole genome shotgun sequence.